rnacentral:rRNA from 1 species
CCCUUAGAUGUUCUGGGCCGCACGCGCGCUACACUGAUAAUGUCAACAAGCUUUACCUUGGCCGAUAGGUCUGGACAAUCUUCGAACUAUUAUCGUGAUGGGGCUAGAUUAUUGCAACUAUUAAUCUUAAACGAGGAAUUCCUAGUAAGCGCGAGUCAUCAGCUCGCGUUGAUUACGUCCCUGCCCUUUGUACACACCGCCCGUCGCUACUACCGAUUGAAUGGUUCAGUGAGAUAAUCGGACAGAAAACUUGGCAACUGGCAACAGUUGACGUGCAUUUUUGGAAGACGAUCAAACUUGGUCAUUUAGAGGAAGUAAAAGUCGUAACA